rnacentral:lncRNA from 1 species
GAGCAAUUAAAUAGCGAGCUUUUAAUCUAGAUGAUAAUAGUAGCAGUCUCAUCCUCAAGGAUGACAAUAGUAAAUCCUAUCAAAAAAACAAUCAACAGUUAGAAACGUAUAGUACUGAAUCUUAAUUAUGCUUCAAUGGUUGGUCCAUUGUUGGUUCUUUCGAGUUUAAAAAGUUAAUUUCCUCUAGAUUCUUUGGGAAGCACAACAGCAAAGCUUUGAUUAUAAUUUUAGUAGCAGGAAGGGGCAGCUGUCUCUAUUUAUAAAUUGAAAAUAAUACUGUAUUAGAAAAGAC